GCAGAUGCUAGGGCGGCCACUAGGCCCA
rnacentral:piRNA from 1 species